UAUCACAAGUGCGAAUGCUGACAUAAGUAACGAUAAAACGAGUGAAAAACUCGUUCGCCGGAAGACCAAGGGUUCCUGUCCAACGUUAAUCGGGGCAGGGUGAGUCGGCCCCUAAGGCGAGGCUGAAAAGCGUAGUCGAUGGGAAACGGGUUAAUAUUCCCGUACUUGGUAAAGCUGCGAUGUGGGGACGGAGAAGGUUAGGUUAGCAGACUGUUGGAUGUCUGUUUAAGUUGGUAGGUGGGAAGUUUAGGCAAAUCCGGACUUCCAUAACACUGAGAGAUGAUGACGAGUUUCUACGGAAAUGAAGUAACUGAUACCACGCUUCCAGGAAAAGCCACUAAGCGAAAGGCUUUACUAAACCGUACUGAAAACCGACACAGGUGGUCAGGUAGAGAAUACUCAGGCGCUUGAGAGAACUCGGGUGAAGGAACUAGGCAAAAUAGCACCGUAACUUCGGGAGAAGGUGCGCUGGCGUAGGUUGUARGAGUAUACCUCCGAAGGCUGAACCAGUCGAAGAUACCAGCUGGCUGCAACUGUUUAUUAAAAACACAGCACUCUGCAAACACGAAAGUGGACGUAUAGGGUGUGAUGCCUGCCCGGUGCUGGAAGGUUAAUUGAUGGUGUAAUCGAAAGAGAAGCUCCUGAUCGAAGCCCCAGUAAACGGCGGCCGUAACUAUAACGGUCCUAAGGUAGCGAAAUUCCUUGUCGGGUAAGUUCCGACCUGCACGAAUGGCAUAAUGAUGGCCAGGCUGUCUCCACCCGAGACUCAGUGAAAUUGAAAUCGCCGUGAAGAUGCGGUGUACCCGCGGCUAGACGGAAAGACCCCGUGAACCUUUACUAUAGCUUGACACUGAACAUUGAAUUUUGAUGUGUAGGAUAGGUGGGAGACUUAGAAGUGUGAACGCCAGUUUGCAUGGAGUCGACCUUGAAAUACCACCCUUUAACGUUUGAUGUUCUAACGAAGAUUACGAAACGUGGUCUCGGACAGUGUCUGGUGGGUAGUUUGACUGGGGCGGUCUCCUCCCAAAGCGUAACGGAGGAGCACGAAGGUUUGCUAAUCACGGUCGGACAUCGUGAGGUUAGUGCAAUGGUAUAAGCAAGCUUAACUGCGAGACAGACAAGUCGAGCAGGUGCGAAAGCAGGUCAUAGUGAUCCGGUGGUUCUGAAUGGAAGGGCCAUCGCUCAACGGAUAAAAGGUACUCCGGGGAUAACAGGCUGAUACCGCCCAAGAGUUCAUAUCGACGGCGGUGUUUGGCACCUCGAUGUCGGCUCAUCACAUCCUGGGGCUGAAGUAGGUCCCAAGGGUAUGGCUGUUCGCCAUUUAAAGUGGUACGCGAGCUGGGUUUAGAACGUCGUGAGACAGUUCGGUCCCUAUCUGCCGUGGGCGUUGGAGAAUUGAGAGGGGCUGCUCCUAGUACGAGAGGACCGGAGUGGACGCAUCACUGGUGUACCAGUUGUCUCGCCAGAGGCAUUGCUGGGUAGCUAAAUGCGGAAGAGAUAAGUGCUGAAAGCAUCUAAGCACGAAACUCGCCUUAAGAUGAGUUCUCCCUAGCUAUAAGCUAGUAAGGGUUGUUGAAGACUACGACGUAGAUAGGUCUGGUGUGUAAGCGGUGUGAGCCGUUGAGCUAACAGAUACUAAUUGCCCGAGAGGCUUAACUAU
rnacentral:rRNA from 1 species